AAAUCCCUCUCCCCUAGACAACCCCCCAAAUAAAUUUAUUAUAUGAUCUUUAGGGUUACAAUUGUUACAACAUUCGAAUAAAUAAAAUAGCGAAAAAAUAAAAAUAUAUAGAUAUAUAUAUACAUUCAAACAAAUAAAUAAAUCCUUCUUCAGUUAAUCUUCAACUUGAACUUCAAGUUUGGAACCUGGACGGAUCUGUUAAGAUCCAUCUUUGAGUUUCGCCGGAUUUCGAUGUCAUUCUUGCCGGAAUAUAUGGCCAAACCUGUCACUGUUGGGGCUGAUCGGAGUUGCUGGUUUUGAUCUGCUGCUGGUACGUCCUUCGCUGGAAAAUAGAGAGGAAGAGCGAGCUGCUGUCUCGCUAGUUGCUGGCUGCAAAAGGAGACGGAGAAAGGGAGAACAAGAAGAAUAGAAGCGAUGGGAGAAGGGGAGAGGUAGGCGGCUGGUGGGCUGCUGGUUGCUGCCUUUACCGGCGGCUUCUGUUUCCUUGAGUUGCUACUGGCGUGCGCCUCUACAGGCGCU
rnacentral:misc_RNA from 1 species